rnacentral:tRNA from 1 species
GCGCCCAUAGCUUAAAUGACAAAGCCGCAGUCUCUAAAACUGCCAUUUCUUGUAGGUUCAAAUCCUGCUGGGCGUGCCA